CAAGUAUAUUGUUGAGUUUUAUACAUUUUGAUUUUGUUGUGUACUAAUUUUUGUUUGGUAAUUUUUUUGAUUUCAGCUUCACAAACUGUUUGUUUAUUUGUUUGUAUUAGAGUUGGUUGGGUUCGGUUUUAUAAUUAACCUUAUCUGCCUAUUUCCGUUGUUAAUUUUGGUUUAGGAACCAAGCAAGGUUUGAAAUAAAUAGGGUUGUGCAUGUUAAGCCAGUUUUCACUGCCUUCAGCUGCCGUUGAAGGUGAACAUCCGCCUGCAGUGAAUUUGUUCUGUUACAUUUCUGUCUGACUCGUUCCCUAGAAGCAACAAGAAGCGUGCUGUUUUAACAUUUUUAUAAUCUCCAGUCGAUUUUCAUUGAAGAACACAUUGAGGCAGCUACAUACAUAGUUUAUUAUUAUUACAUUCAGUUGUUUAUAAUAUUUGGGUAGAAUGU
rnacentral:lncRNA from 1 species